AAAUGCGAUAAGUAAUGUGAAUUGCAGAAUUCAGUGAAUCAUCGAAUCUUUGAACGCACAUUGCGCCCGUCAGCAUUCUGGCGGGCAUGCCUGUUCGAGCGUCAUUUCAACCCUCAGGACCCCCCUUUCGCGGGGAGGGACCUGGCGUUGGGGAUCGGCCCGCCCCCGCGGCGGCGCCGUCCCCGAAAUCUAGUGGCGGUCUCGCUGCAGCCUCCCCUGCGUAGUAGUUACAACCUCGCAUCGGAGCGCGGCGCGGCCACGCCGUAAAACCCCCGACUUUCUGAACGUUGACCUCGGAUCAGGUAGGAAUACCCGCUGAACUUAAGC
rnacentral:misc_RNA from 1 species